GGACUACUGGGGUAUCUAAUCCUGUUUGCUCCCCACGCUUUCGCACCUCAGCGUCAAUACUUGUCCAGUCAGUCGCCUUCGCCACUGGUGUUCUUCCGAAUAUCUACGAAUUUCACCUCUACACUCGGAAUUCCACUGACCUCUCCAAGAUUCUAGUCACCUAGUUUCAAAGGCAGUUCCGGGGUUGAGCCCCGGGCUUUCACCUCUGACUUGAGUAACCGCCUACGCGCGCUUUACGCCCAGUAAUUCCGAACAACGCUAGCUCCCUCCGUAUUACCGCGGCUGCUGGCAC
rnacentral:rRNA from 1 species